rnacentral:rRNA from 1 species
UACGUAGGGGGCAAGCGUUGUCCGGAUUUAUUGGGCGUAAAGAGCGUGUAGGCGGCCAGGUAGGUCAGCUGUGAAAACUCGAGGCUCAACCUCGAGACGUCGGUUGAAACCACCUGGCUAGAGUCCGGAAGAGGAGAGUGGAAUUCCUGGUGUAGCGGUGAAAUGCGCAGAUAUCAGGAAGAACACCCGUGGCGAAGGCGGCUCUCUGGGACGUUACUGACGCUGAGGAGCGAAAGCCAGGGGAGCAAACGGG